ACUUCUAGGUCAUUCUUUUCUCUUUUUCCCCUGGGUGUUGUUGCUGUUUUGGAUUUUGCUUAGUUGGUUGUUCCUCUGUUCUUGAGAGAGGCUCUCAUGUAGCCCAGACUGGCCUCAAACUUCAGGACGCUGAGAGGCAUAGACCAACACUCUCCGGCUGAACCACAUGCACAGCCCAGAACUGAUCUUUGCGGUAACCCUUGUACUUAACUUGCAAGGAUCUGGCUGCCAUUUUACCCUCUUUUUGGGGGACCCGAGAGGCUGCCGGCUCCCUUAGAUCCUCCUGGACCCACCUUUCCCCCGGUUAUUUUACACCGUAGCCUGUCCAGUGAACAUGCAACACGGGAGCUACCGAUUUUAGUUCUGGUUUCCCUGGUGGCUGAUGAGGAGCCUGUCAGCCCCUUCUUUCCUGGGCCCCUGUUGUCGAUUACAAUGACGAUGAUGACAACAAUUUUAUUCCACUGAGAACUUCACAUGUGAACACUGCACAUACAUGACUCCUAAUGCAUGUUCCUCCCAACUCUACCCACACCCCUCACAUCCGUGAUCUUUAGUUACUAUUGUCACAUGUGUUUAAUGUGUGUAUGAACACAUGUGCACACACACACACAAAUAACCCCCGAGUUCAUUCUGCUUCGAUUCUAUGUACAUAUGUCCCCGCUGGCCGCUUGGAACUGGACAAGAGCCUCCUCUUUUUCAAAAGGAGUCACAGCCUCUACUCCAGUGAGCUAUGUGGGAGGGUGUGCAGGUGCCUGGAGACAACCAGCUUGCACCUGGCUGCAGCUCACAGUCUCCACUCUUGACGAAGCGUGACAGAUGCCCACUGACGCAGACACGUGACAGAUCUGAGUCACCAUCUGUGGGUUGCGGCUCCUCACCAGCCCGGCUUGCAGCCUUUAAGUUUGCCACAGUCUGGCCUCGGGCCGAGUCUCCAUCAUCACCUUGGCCAUUUUCCCUGCUGUCUCCUCUCCUUAAGCAGAAACGUGAUGCGAAUGGGUUCCAGAUCUGUACCUGCUGUCACCCCUGCACACACUCCCAGAGCUGAUGUCACAGGUUAGAUCCCGGUGGUACCAGGCCAGAGGCCCCCAUACUUCCACUUGUUGGCCACUACAGGGCUUUGCAAAUAAAGUUUUGUUGCUGUUGUUGUUUU